UAUUAUUAGUUUAUGUAAAUAACUAAAUAAUAAAUAAUAUUGUUGAUCAACAACAAUACAUACCAAACACUAACUACAACUAAGUAACAUUAAUUGUCAUAAAUGUAUACCACAACGUUCUAGUUCACAAUGUAGUUGAUCUAUGAGCUCAAUGCUCAUAUGUCUUUCCGAUUCAUGUACUUCCGCAAAAUCCAGCAAUGCGAACCAGACAAGGUUUCUCAUGUUUUUGUGCAUCACUAAGUUUUUUUUCAUUGUUGACACCACUGCUAUUUUUUCUUCCGUUUUAUAAAGAAGUAAUUUCAGACUGACGUUUAUUACCAUCUUAGAGCGAGGUGUUGGUUCCAUCCUAGAUACCAAGUCAUAGAUUGAUGUAAAACCACGUUUAAGUUGAUGGAACACACGUAUAUCAUGUUGAAAGUGGUGUUCAUCAUCAAAAUUGUCGCCGGAAGACAUCGCCUUUUGCACGUACGACUUUGUAAGUUUGCAAAAAUUAAAUAUAUCUCAAGAAGUUAGUUAAUACCUAGUAUGAUUAGUUUUCGUAAUCCGGAUUGUGCAGGUUUAACCUAAUGCAUUGAACAAAUCCUUAAAGUGAAUUUAGUUAAUUUAAAUAGAUGUUUAAAAACCUUUUGGUCUUAAAGCUAGGAAACGUUUUCGUCACUCUCCGUUAAACAGGAAGUAUCGGGUUGUGAACUUUGGCUAACCAUAACCACCUAUGGACUGACGUCGAAUGGUUCAGGAUGGAAUAAGGUGGGGCAGACUAAGUACUGAUUGGAAUAAUGAAGUAAAUAAUGCAAGUGGACACGAUUUGUUAAAAAAUUUAUUGUUUAUAAUAUAAAAAGGCUGAUUCCAGCAAGAUUUUAAACAAGAAGUAUUUUGUUUCCUAAUGGUAUUAAGUGAAUAAUCUUAUACUAUGCCUUAUAAUAUACACGUAUAUAAAUUUAAAAACAUAAAUAAUACAAAAUGUGCGACAAUACCAAUACAAUAUAUUGAAGAAAAUAGACUUUUUGGUAGCUUUGCAAACAAAUACAUUUAGAAGUGUAUUUUCCAAACAUUUAGUGUUUCUAAUAUUUUCUCAUACAGAACAAGGCUAGUAUCUGAAUGGGAUACCAACAUGUGUCACAUUGUUCAUGAUGUAUUGUAGAUUCCAGUAAGAUAUUAAAUAAUUUACAAAACAUUAAGUAUUUUGUUCCCUAUUGGUACUGAAUGAACACAAUUAAAAAAAUACAAAUUAUUUAUACACUAGUUAUACUAAUAUGCGUAUAUACAUUUAAAACUACACAAAAUGUAUAACAAUACCGUGUACGUGUAGAUGAUUAAACAUAAUUCGUUCUCCUUUUCCUCAAUUUUUAAGAAAGCCUGAUAGAUAAGUGUAUGCCUAUUUUCUCUUCAUUGAAGAAAAUAUACUUUUGUUUCGGGCAGCUUUGUGAACAAAUACAUUUAAAAGAGUAUUUACCCCAAAUUUAGAGUGUGGGUAUAGUCUCUUUUAAGAUAUUUUCUCUUACAGCACCAGGCUGGUACCCGAAAUGGAUACCAACAGAUAUCACAUUACUAUUGUUCAAGACGGGUAUCACAUUCUAAUAAAAAAUUAAAUAAUUUACAAAACAAAAAGUAUUGUUCCCCUAUUGGUACUGAAUGAACACAUUUCAAAAAAACAGGUAAAAACGUUUCGUUUCAUACAACAUUAUACAUAAUAUAUAUACAAGUAUAUACACGUAAAAACACAUAAAAUUAUGGAAAAGGUAUAACAAUACCGUUUCGUUGUAGUAUAUCCUGUACGAUUCGUAUGUGAUCAGCAUUUUCUUGGUUCUCCAAUUUUUCAAUUUCCAAAUAUUCCAUGUAGGUUUGCCAGAAAAUGACAUCGCUGGAUUGACUCCUCAGUAAUUUUCUUUUUAUUAAAGAAAAUUCACUAUAGGUGCUGGCAGAUCUGGCACCAAGUGUUUUUAGCAAUGAAUCCACCACAAA